GCGGGAGUUAUUCAAUGACUCUGCGGGCGGCUCCAGGGAAACCAAAGUUUUUGGGUUCCGGGGGAAGUAUGGUGGCAAAGCUGAAACUUAAAGGAAUUGACGGAAGGGCACCACCAGGAGUGGAGCCUGCGGCUUAAUUUGACUCAACGCGGGGAAACUCACCCGGCCCGGACACUGUAAGGAUUGACAGAUUGAUAGCUCUUUCUUGAUUCAGUGGAUGGUGGUGCAUGGCCGUUCUUAGUUGGUGGAGCGAUUUGUCUGGUUAAUUCCGAUAACGAACGAGACUCCGGCCUACUAACUAGAACGUAGAUUCUUUGUCUACGAGACUUCUUAGAGGGACUCGGGGCGUCUAGCCUCACGAAAUGGAGCGAUAACAGGUCUGUAAUGCCCUUAGAUGUCCGGGGCCGCACGCGCGCUACACUGAAGGAAGCAACAAGCUAUACCCUGGUUCGAAAGGACUGGGUAACCUUGUGAAACUCCUUCGUGAUUGGGAUAGGGACUUGCAAUUAUUUCCCUUGAACGAGGAAUUCCUAGUAAGUGUGGGUCAUCAUCUCGCGUUGAUUACGUCCCUGCCCUUUGCCCCCCCCGCCCGUCGCUACUACCGAUUGAAUGAAAUACUGAAAUUGACGGAUUGGUCUUUUGGUGGCUUCGCGGCUGCCAUUGUGACUGAGAAAUCACUUAAAGUGUUUCAUUUAGAGGAAGUAAAAGUCGUAACAAGGUUUCCGUAGGUGAACCUGCGGAAGGAUCA
rnacentral:rRNA from 1 species